rnacentral:rRNA from 1 species
UACGUAGGGUGCGAGCGUUGUCCGGAUUUAUUGGGCGUAAAGGGCUCGUAGGCGGCGUGUCGCGUCGGGAGUGAAAGCCCGCUGCUUAACGGCGGGUUGGCUUCCGGUACGGGCAUCGCUGGAGUGCGGCAGGGGAGACUGGAAUUCCCGGUGUAGCGGUGAAAUGCGCAGAUAUCGGGAAGAACACCCGUGGCGAAGGCGGCUCUCUGGGACGGUACUGACGCUGAGACGCGAAAAGCGUGGGGGAGCAAACAGGG